CAAAACAUUUUCCAUAUUUUCUUUGUAAACGAAUAAAUAAAGGUUAGGGAUGGGUGCUCUCUUAAUUUUCCCUGCUGAAAUUUUGAGAGUAUCUUCCCGAUUGAGCGCCAUGAUCUACAGCAACUUGUUCGCGCUAUUAAUAAUCUUAAACUUGUUAUCGCUUGUUGUAAGAAGCUGAAAAGAAGUUAUCUACGUAUUUUCCGAAAAAAAAAACCAAAAAAUUUUCUUUCAAUAGUAAAAGAAGCAUGUUUCGAAGGUGUACUCUGGUGAAUUUGGUGGCCACAGAAAGUUGUCUAGGAAAAACCGCUCGCUUUUUUCAAUCAUGGUAUCUUCACUCGCGUUUACAAAAUGUGUUUGCUAUGAGGCCGCCCUCUCUAAAUUUGUCACGCGUUACCAAUAGUCAGUGUCAAGGCGUUAGUAUUCAUUUUUUCAAAUGAGACUUUCUAAAUCUUGGUUUCAAGUAAAAAGCUUUGAAAGUAUAGUUUCAAAAUAUAAAACUUUGAAAACUGAAACCGGUAAAAAAAGAAGACCCCUAGUACUGUUUCCGAAUAUCUUUAUAAAAUGCAUUAGACCUGGGAAACCAGUGAAUAAGAAUGUCGCUAAAUUUGUGGUCCCAAAGGAAUUGAACAAACACGACAUCCGCAAUUAUUUGGAAUUAAUUUAUGAUUUAACUGUUUUGAAAGUUCACACUGUUAUUAUGCCUGGAAGAACUUGGCGUAAUAAAAGAACUGGGAUCAAAUACAGAACAGGUGAAGUUAAAAAGGCUUUUGUCUACUUAGACGAGGAGUUUACAUUUCCCGAAUUAUAUAAAACCAAGAGCAGUGAACAGGAAAAUAAAUAUGAAAAGCAACUGAAUUUCAGGGAGACCGGUACAGAAAUGGGAGGCAAAGGACACUUAGACGAGUUAAUAUAGUUGGUUUGACCUUUGUCUUCAAUAAAAGAUUUUUGUUGUACGACACCAUUUA